UGCGCUUUUCACACACAGUAUGUAUGUUACGCGUCUAAUGUUUAGUACAUUGCGGAUCAUAUAAUCCGGAUGAUUUUGAAAACAUUUCGUGUCCUUUUGUGUCUCACUUUUUCAAAACAUCGAAUAAAUACGUUAUUCUUAUGGUUUACACAUGUACAUACUUUAUAAACAAUUUGAAAGUGACCGAUAGCGCAAGUAUAUAACUAGCAUGCGUGAUAUUUUUCGGCAUAUAGUGAGGUUAUAUGGUUAUGGACAAAAGUACUGUAAAAUAUCAAUCUCAAAGACGAUGGAUUGUAUUUAUCUGCGCAAAAUUUUCUGUGGAGAAGACGUUUCGUGCUCUCUUUCUGCUCUCGUGCAACGUGAUUUACAGCAAGUUUUCAAGAGCUCGUGAACAAUGGAGAUAUCUACGAUAAUAAAUGCAGCAUCGGUUCCAGAAGAAGAUUCCAGAUUAAAUAAUUUUAUUUGGAACGUAAUUUUGGAAGAAAUAGAUUUUUAAAAAAAAAAUCAAAUUAAACUCACGAUAAAGAAAAUGUAAAUACUUUUGCUUACGAUAUUAAAUGAGUUUACAUUAUUAAUGUUUAAUUUUUAAUCUUCAUUACAAAAGAUAUUCCAAAUAUAUAUAGAUAGAGAAAUACUUAACCCUUUCUACGAUAUUUGUAACAUUUGUAUAAUAAAAUUUGUAUUUAUAUUUCAUA